AGCGCAGGCGGGAAGACAAGUUGGAAGUGAAAUCUAUGGGCUCAACCCAUAAACUGCUUUCAAAACUGUUUUUCUUGAGUAGUGCAGAGGUAGGCGGAAUUCCCGGUGUAGCGGUGGAAUGCGUAGAUAUCGGGAGGAACACCAGUGGCGAAGGCGGCCUACUGGGCACCAACUGACGCUGAGGCUCGAAGUGUGGGUAAGGCAAACG
rnacentral:rRNA from 1 species